UAAAAGCAUAGAAAAUACAGGGUCCAGAAUGUAACCACAUAAUGCAGACACGGUGCAACACCCAGCGAUCCCUGCACUUGUGUUUGCCAUAGCAAAAGCCAGCUCAAGCCAGAUGGAUGUCUCUGUAGCAAUCCUUGAUACACUUCUUUUUUCGAUUUAGGUUUUGAGAUACAGUAUUCCAAGGCAGGGAAGUUACUUGGGGCCAACAUCCUUCAGCGCGCAGAUCUGCUCCUCCCCCAUAGCAGACUGGACAGUCACAACAAGAUCCUUGCCGCUUUCAAACCCUUCCUUGAUCUGAAUUACCAAGCAUACAAGAUGCAGAAGUAUUAUUUAGUUUGGGCAGCCACUUGAGGUAGAUAAAUUAACUCUCCAACAGACAUAAGUUAUGCAGCAUACUACUUCCAAUCAACAUAAAUUGUAUCCUAGACAACAUACAAAGUGCAGGUCAUGCAUACGUUUCAGUUUUAAAGCAACCAAUUUUAGUGCAGUUUCAGCAUGUUUUAUAUGACAUGGUUGUUAUGUCAUAUCAUUUUUAAAAAGAAUGGUAGACAGUCUAAAUACAUAAGGAAUGUCUAGUUCUACAAGGCCCUACUUUCCACAUUCCUUAUAAGCACCAGAUCAAUUAACAAACAUCAAGGAAGAGAAGCUACCAAGAAAGAACAUAUGACUAAUAAGCUAACAAAGAUAACCACCAUCUGUAAUAUUUGGAAGUCAAUAAGAAAACCAACAAGACUUAAGAUGAAAAAUGUUUUCAAACAG
rnacentral:lncRNA from 1 species